rnacentral:lncRNA from 10 species
AGUAUUUACCAAAGGCUAUCUAGCUAGGGAGUGAUGGAGCCCAGAUCCGAAUCCAGACUGUAAGCUCCUUCAGUGCUGGAGCAGUGUCAUUCAUCCAUUUGUUCAUUUACGGAUCAAAUAUUUAAUGCAUAACUACCACAUGCAUGAUGCUUUGCUAAGCCCUUGGGGAGGCAAAGAUGAAGACAUAUUCCUUGCUUUCAAGCAGGUGCUGACAGCUGAGCCAUUCCACGCACCUUCGGAGCAAAGAACUGCCGGAAACCAGGGCCAAGUUCAGAGCCUGAAAUUUUUUUCAAAGGCUACAAGGAGAAACCUGGGGGGCCUGAUCACACAUUACAUAAGCCGUAUGUGAGCAGAGGAUGCCACUGAUGCUAGGAACCCAGUGCCUGUCGGAAUUGCGCAAGGUUUACGCAGAAGCACUUAAGUGUUGCAACAUGACCCCACAUCUUUACCAAAAAUGUGAAACAUUCACGCAGCACACACUUUAAAAACACUAAAGCUUGUCUCCGCCAGGUGGCUAAGGCUGCUUGAUGGGGCUGACAGGAGAGGAGCUUUGCAGGGGGGCCUGACUUACUGUAGCUCUUGGCCCAGGGAGCUGAACACGCAGUACUUUGUACCCCAAUAGCCCUGGGCAGCCCAAGCCUCUGAUAAAAUGUACUUUUCUGUGU